rnacentral:rRNA from 1 species
AUGAACGCUAGCGACAGGCUUAACACAUGCAAGUCGAGGGGCAGCGGGGGUAGCAAUACCCGCCGGCGACCGGCGCACGGGUGAGUAACGCGGAUGCAACUUAACUAUCAGAGGGGGAUAACCCGGCGAAAGUCGGACUAAUACCGCAUGAAGCAGGGGCCCCGCAUGGGGAUAUUUGCUAAAGAUUCAUCGCUGAUAGAUAGGCAUGCGUUCCAUUAGGCAGUUGGCGGGGUAACGGCCCACCAAACCGACGAUGGAUAGGGGUUCUGAGAGGAAGGUCCCCCACAUUGGUACUGAGACACGGACCAAACUCCUACGGGAGGCAGCAGUGAGGAAUAUUGGUCAAUGGGCGUAAGCCUGAACCAGCCAAGUCGCGUGAGGGAUGAAGGUUCUAUGGAUCGUAAACCUCUUUUAUAAGGGAAUAAAGUGCGGGACGUGUCCCGUUUUGUAUGUACCUUAUGAAUAAGGAUCGGCUAACUCCGUGCCAGCAGCCGCGGUAAUACGGAGGAUCCGAGCGUUAUCCGGAUUUAUUGGGUUUAAAGGGUGCGUAGGCGGCCUUUUAAGUCAGCGGUGAAAGUCUGUGGCUCAACCAUAGAAUUGCCGUUGAAACUGGGGGGCUUGAGUAUGUUUGAGGCAGGCGGAAUGCGUGGUGUAGCGGUGAAAUGCUUAGAUAUCACGCAGAACCCCGAUUGCGAAGGCAGCCUGCCAAGCCAUGACUGACGCUGAUGCACGAAAGCGUGGGGAUCAAACAGGAUUAGAUACCCUGGUAGUCCACGCAGUAAACGAUGAUCACUAGCUGUUUGCGAUACAGUGUAAGCGGCACAGCGAAAGCGUUAAGUGAUCCACCUGGGGAGUACGCCGGCAACGGUGAAACUCAAAGGAAUUGACGGGGGCCCGCACAAGCGGAGGAACAUGUGGUUUAAUUCGAUGAUACGCGAGGAACCUUACCCGGGUUUGAACGCAUUCGGACCGAGGUGGAAACACCUUUUCUAGCAAUAGCCGUUUGCGAGGUGCUGCAUGGUUGUCGUCAGCUCGUGCCGUGAGGUGUCGGCUUAAGUGCCAUAACGAGCGCAACCCUUGCCACUAGUUACUAACAGGUGAUGCUGAGGACUCUGGUGGGACUGCCAGCGUAAGCUGCGAGGAAGGCGGGGAUGACGUCAAAUCAGCACGGCCCUUACAUCCGGGGCGACACACGUGUUACAAUGGCGUGGACAAAGGGAUGCCACCUGGCGACAGGGAGCGAAUCCCCAAACCACGUCUCAGUUCGGAUCGGAGUCUGCAACCCGACUCCGUGAAGCUGGAUUCGCUAGUAAUCGCGCAUCAGCCAUGGCGCGGUGAAUACGUUCCCGGGCCUUGUACACACCGCCCGUCAAGCCAUGGGAGCCGGGGGUACCUGAAGUCCGUAACCGCGAGGAUCGGCCUAGGGUAAAACUGGUGACUGGGGCU